GACGAACGCUGGCGGCGUGCCUAAUACAUGCAAGUCGAACGCAGUUGCGAACGGGUGAGUAACGCGUAGGUAACUGCCUCAUAGCGGGGGGUAACUAAUGGAAACGAUAGCUAAUACCGCAUACUGUGAGACGGACCUGCGUUGUAUUAGCUAGUUGGGGAGGGAAAGGCACACCAAGGCGACGGUACAUAGCCGACCUGCGAGGGUGAACGACCAAACUGGGAAUGGGACAAGGCCCAGGAUCCUACCGGGGGGAGCAAUAGGGGAACUUCGGCAAUGGGGGGAAGUCUGACCGAGGAACGCCGCGGGGGAGGAGAAGGGUUUCGGAGCGUAAAGCUCUGUUGUGAGAGGAGCGGUAACUAACCAGAAAGGGACGGCUAACUACGUGCCAGCAGCCGCGGUAAUAC
rnacentral:rRNA from 1 species